rfam:Angiostrongylus cantonensis strain Taiwan genome assembly, scaffold: ACAC_contig0011716
GCCGCCAUAGCUCAGUCGGUUAGAGCGUGGGUCUAAUAAGCCCAAGGUCGCAGGAUAGACCCCCGCUGGCGGCA